rnacentral:rRNA from 1 species
GAUGAACGCUGGCGGCGUGCUUAACACAUGCAAGUCGAGCGAUGAAAGCCUUAUGAACUAUUCGUAGUGAUUGGGGCCGGAUUAGCGGCGGACGGGUGAGUAACGCGUGAGCAACCUGCCUUAAACAACGGGAUAGCCUCGGGAAACCGGGAUUAAUACCGUAUGAGACCCCGCCUUCACAUGAAGAAGAGGUUAAAGAUUUAUCGGUUUAAGAUGGGCUCGCGUCUGAUUAGCUAGUUGGUGAGAUAAAAGCCCACCAAGGCAACGAUCAGUAACCGGCUUGAGAGAGGGAACGGUCACAUUGGAACUGAGACACGGUCCAAACUCCUACGGGAGGCAGCAGUGGGGAAUAUUGCACAAUGGGGGAAACCCUGAUGCAGCGACGCCGCGUGAGCGAUGAAGGAAUUCGUGUCGUAAAGCUCUGUCCAAGGGGAAGAUAAUGACAGUACCCUUGGAGGAAGCCCCGGCUAACUACGUGCCAGCCGCCGCAGUAAGAC